rnacentral:rRNA from 1 species
GAAGUCUGACGGAGCACGCCGCGUGAGUGAUGAAGGCUUUCGGGUCGUAAAACUCUGUUGUUAGGGAAGAACAAGUGCUAGUUGAAUAAGCUGGCACCUUGACGGUACCUAACCAGAAAGCCACGGCUAACUACGUGCCAGCAGCCGCGGUAAUACGUAGGUGGCAAGCGUUAUCCGGAAUUAUUGGGCGUAAAGCGCGCGCAGGUGGUUUCUUAAGUCUGAUGUGAAAGCCCACGGCUCAACCGUGGAGGGUCAUUGGAAACUGGGAGACUUGAGUGCAGAAGAGGAAAGUGGAAUUCCAUGUGUAGCGGUGAAAUGCGUAGAGAUAUGGAGGAACACCAGUGGCGAAGGCGACUUUCUGGUCUGUAACUGACACUGAGGCGCGAAAGCGUGGGGAGCAAACAGGAUUAGAUACCCUGGUAGUCCACGCCGUAAACGAUGAGUGCUAAGUGUUAGAGGGUUUCCGCCCUUUAGUGCUGAAGUUAACGCAUUAAGCACUCCGCCUGGGGAGUACGGCCGCAAGGCUGAAACUCAAAGGAAUUGACGG